rnacentral:rRNA from 1 species
UACAGAGGGUGCGAGCGUUGUUCGGAAUUAUUGGGCGUAAAGGGCGCGUAGGCGGGCUGUCAAGUUUGGGGUGAAAUCCCGCGGCUCAACCGUGGAACUGCCUCAAAUACUGACGGUCUCGAGGGAGGUAGGGGCGAGCGGAACUGAUGGUGGAGCGGUGAAAUGCGCAGAUAUCAGGAGGAACACCGGUGGCGAAGGCGGGUCUCUGGGCAACAACUGACGCUGAGGAGCGAAAGCGUGGGGAGCGAACAGG